AUUUAUUUGUUUUAUUAGUGGGUAUAGCACUGAAUAUCUAAUAAUGUUUAUUAUUAGAAAGGAGUAUGAAAGUACUUACUUUGGAUAUUUAAUCUCAGAAUAACUAAUAGAAUAAGGAAUAAGUUAUCAGACUUAUUGCGAUAAGGUGGUAAGUCGAAAGGGGAACAGCCCAGAAUAAUGUAUAAAGUUCCGAAAUUGUUACUCAGUGAAAAAAAAG
rnacentral:rRNA from 1 species